UACGGGGGGGGCAAGCGUUGUUCGGAAUUACUGGGCGUAAAGGGCUCGUAGGCGGCCAACUAAGUCCGACGUGAAAUCCCCAGGCUUAACCUGGGAACUGCGUCGGAUACUGGAUGGCUUGAAUCCGGGAGAGGGAUGCGGAAUUCCAGGUGUAGCGGUGAAAUGCGUAGAUAUCUGGAGGAACACCGGUGGCGAAGGCGGCAUCCUGGACCAACACUGACACUGAGGAGCGAAAGCCAGGGGAGCAAACGGG
rnacentral:rRNA from 1 species